rnacentral:rRNA from 1 species
UACGUAGGUGGCAAGCGUUGUCCGGAUUUACUGGGCGUAAAGGGCGUGCAGGCGGUUUGUUAAGUGCAGGGUGAAAGCUCCCGGCUCAACUGGGAGAGGUCCUUGCAUAUUGGCAAACUCGAGGGAGGCAGAGGAAAGUGGAAUUCCCGGUGUAGUGGUGAUAUGCGUAGAUAUCGGGAGGAACACCUGUGGCGAAGGCGGCUUUCUGGGCCUUACCUGACGCUGAGGCGCGAAAGCGUGGGGAGCGAACCGG